rnacentral:tRNA from 1 species
GAAGACUUAGGUUAACUAAACUCUGAGCCUUCAAAGCUCUCAAUACAGAUUUAACUUCUGUAGUCUUUG